UUGACGACUGAAUGAGAAUUGUUAUUAUUAGCACCACUGGUCGCGAGAUCAGUUGGUAAGCUGGAAGACCAGGCAGUCGGACUUUCAGGUUAUCUCCUCAUCAGGCUAAUCACGGUUUUGACCCGGCUCUUGCCGGGUCUUUUUUUG
rfam:Pseudomonas stutzeri strain 28a24, complete genome.